GACCUCGGAUCAGGCGGGAAUACCCGCUGACUUA
rnacentral:rRNA from 1 species